rnacentral:rRNA from 1 species
CAAUUCUCAAUCAACGAUUGGAGACCAGCGGAGGGAUCAUUACAGAGUUGCAAAACUCCCACAAACCAUCGCGAAUCUUACCCGUACGGUUGCCUCGGCGCUGGCGGUCCGGAAAGGCCCUCGGGUCCUCCCGGAUCCUCGGGUCUCCCGCUCGCGGGAGGCUGCCCGCCGGAGUGCCGAAACUAAACUCUUGAUAUUUUAUGUCUCUCUGAGUAAACUUUUAAAUAAGUCAAAACUUUCAACAACGGAUCUCUUGGUUCUGGCAUCGAUGAAGAACGCAGCGAAAUGCGAUAAGUAAUGUGAAUUGCAGAAUUCAGUGAAUCAUCGAAUCUUUGAACGCACAUUGCGCUCGCCAGUAUUCUGGCGAGCAUGCCUGUUCGAGCGUCAUUUCAACCAUCAAGCUCUGCUUGCGUUGGGGAUCCGCGGCUGCCCGCGGUCCCUCAAAAUCAGUGGCGGGCUCGCUAGUCACACCGAGCGUAGUAACUCUACAUCGCUAUGGUCGUGCGGCGGGUUCUUGCCGUAAAACCCCCCAUUUCUAAGGUUGACCUCGGAUCAGGUAGGAAUACCCGCUGAACUUAAGCAUAUCAAUAGCCGGAGGAAAUCUGAAAUCAGGCGGGAUUACCCGCUGAACUUAAGCAUAUCAAUAAGCGGAGGA